rnacentral:tRNA from 1 species
GAAAAGUUAGUUAAAUUAUAACAUUAAUUUGUCAUAUUAAAAUUAUUAAUUUUAAUUAAUACUUUUUU